rnacentral:rRNA from 1 species
AUGGAUGCACGGCUGAGGCUGGUAGUUCAGGCAGCAAAACUAAAAUGUGUGAUUCAGGAAUUCUUCAUGUUCAUGCACAUGAGACCUGUUUAUCGUGGUGAGAGACCUGUCAUUAGUUAUGCUUCAAUGCUUAUGCGAGAGCAGGAGAGGAUCGCCAAUCUGAACUACAUCUAUAACUACAAUGACACAGAGGCCCUACCGAUGCUUCGAAUGAGAAAAGCACCAAUUUCCAAACUUGUCCAGACCUUCAGGAGCAGGAGGCUGCUAUAAGAUAGCAUCCACACAAGUGUGGAAGGGCAAGUGGCCAUGUUUCUCCAUGUUGUUGGCCAUAACCAGAGGUUCAGGGUUAUGCACAACACGUUCAGGAGAUCAAUGGAGACCAUCUCAAGGUACUUCAAGCAAGCGCUCCAUGCUAUUGGGGAGCUCAGAGGAGAGAUCAUAAAGUUACCAACCGGCUAGACUCCUACCAAGAUUCGCACUAGCCCAAGAUGGCAUCCAUACUUCAAGGUGAGCACUCACAGUAUGUACUUCAUGGCUUGA